rnacentral:rRNA from 1 species
GAUGAACGCUGGCUACAGGCUUAACACAUGCAAGUCGAGGGGAAACGGCAUUGGGUGCUUGCACCGAAUGGACGUCGACCGGCGCACGGGUGAGUAACGCGUAUCCAACCUUCCCGUUACUGCGGGAUAACCUGCCGAAAGGCAGACUAAUACCGCAUGUUCUUCGAUGACGGCAUCAGAUUCGAAGCAAAGAUCCGUCGGUAACGGAGGGGGAUGCGUCUGAUUAGCUUGUUGGCGGGGCGACGGCCCACCAAGGCGACGAUCAGUAGGGGUUCUGAGAGGAAGGUCCCCCACAUUGGAACUGAGACACGGUCCAAACUCCUACGGGAGGCAGCAGUGAGGAAUAUUGGUCAAUGGGCGGAAGCCUGAACCAGCCAAGUAGCGUGCAGGAUGACGGCCCUACGGGUUGUAAACUGCUUUUAUGCGGGGAUAAAGUGAGGGACGCGUCCCUUUUUGCAGGUACCGCAUGAAUAAGGACCGGCUAAUUCCGUGCCAGCAGCCGCGGUAAUACGGAAGGUCCGGGCGUUAUCCGGAUUUAUUGGGUUUAAAGGGAGCGUAGGCCGGGGAUUAAGUGUGUUGUGAAAUGUAGGCGCCCAACGUCUGACUUGCAGCGCAUACUGGUUCCCUUGAGUACGCGCAACGCCGGCGGAAUUCGUCGUGUAGCGGUGAAAUGCUUAGAUACGACGAAGAACCCCGAUUGCGAAGGCAGCCGGCGGGAGCGCAACUGACGCUGAAGCUCGAAGGUGCGGGUAUCGAACAGG